CAUACAUUUGAAUCCCAAAAUAAAUUUUACAAGUGGUCUCUGUGUGACAGUCAAGGUUCAGUCACAGGCUCAUAGACGUCACUAAACAGAUCCUGCUGUGCUGCUCUCACUGUGGAUGACUGCCAAGUGCUGUGGAGUUUGAACACUAAUUGGGCCAGCAGGAGCCGAUAGAUGCAGACAGAUCCAAAGGUCCCAGUCCCUCAUUGUGACGUACAUGAUGGGAGUCAAAUCAAUGAGAUGAGGCUGAAUCAAUGAGAUGUCAGUGUUAUCUUAUCAUUGCCUGUUGCAGCUUAAUGAUGAUCUCGCAGCUGCAGGUUAUAAUUUGACCAGACAAAAUAAAGGGGAGAAGACAAAGCUGAGAAAUGAAACCCAACAUCGUGCUGAGUGAAAGAAGAAGGUUGCUCAACUC